rnacentral:rRNA from 1 species
GUGAGGAAUAUUGGUCAAUGGGCGAGAGCCUGAACCAGCCAAGUAGCGUGCAGGAUGACGGCCCUAUGGGUUGUAAACUGCUUUUAUGUGGGGAUAAAGUGAGCUACGUGUAGUUUAUUGCAGGUACCACAUGAAUAAGGACCGGCUAAUUCCGUGCCAGCAGCCGCGGUAAUACGGAAGGUCCAGGCGUUAUCCGGAUUUAUUGGGUUUAAAGGGAGCGUAGGCCGUGGAUUAAGCGUGUUGUGAAAUGUAGACGCUCAACGUCUGAAUUGCAGCGCGAACUGGUUCACUUGAGUAUGCACAACGUAGGCGGAAUUCGUCGUGUAGCGGUGAAAUGCUUAGAUAUGACGAAGAACUCCGAUUGCGAAGGCAGCUUACGGGAGCACAACUGACGCUGAAGCUCGAAGGUGCGGGUAUCAAACAGGAUUAGAAACCCUAGUAGUCC